rnacentral:rRNA from 1 species
CCUACGGGAGGCAGCAGUGAGGAAUAUUGGUCAAUGGCCGGAAGGCUGAACCAGCCAAGCCGCGUGAAGGACGAAGGUGCCAAGCAUUGUAAACUUCUUUUGUCAAGGGACAAAAUCAGGCUCGAGAGCCUGACCGAGGGUACUUGAAGAAAAAGCAUCGGCUAACUCCGCGCCAGCAGCCGCGGUAAUACGGAUGAUGCGAGCGUUAUCCGGAUUUAUGGGGUUUAAAGGGUGCGUAGGUGGUUAAGUAAGUCAGAGGUGAAAGUUUGUGGCUCAACCAUAAAAUUGCCGUUGAAACUGGUUGACUUGAGUAUAUUUGAGGUAGGCGGAAUGCGUGGUGUAGCGGGGAAAUGCAUAGAUAUCACGCAGAACUCCGAUGGCGAAGGCAGCUUACUAAGCUAUAACUGACACUGAAGCACGAAAGCGUGGGGAUCAAACAGGAUUAGAUACCCCAGUAGUC